UAAUAUCCAACCAGGACCUGCCUUGGUGCAGCUUGAGGCCAUCAACUCACAUCCUAAUUGCUUUCUGCUCUGUGAUGCCUUACUGAAAAUUAGGGGGUGUGGAUUAAAAUUCCAGAAGCCUUCUGUGACUCUGCUUGCAAGUCUUGGAACCCAAGAGUGUACUAAAGAAUAUUUUUAAGUAACUAAGUUUUCUACCUUAUUCUAGAAUUAAAACCACAUUCUGCUUAAACAUUUACAACUCUUCAAUGCACUCAACUCUGACGUGCCUUACAAAUACUGGGAAAUACUGUAGUAUGUGUUUUCUGCAGUCCUUCAGAAAUGGACAGUUUCAAGGGCUUACUGCUGGAGUAAUUCAACAGUCAUGCUGUGAAAAUGGGAAGAAGCAAAGAGCGAAUCAAGAGAGGAAAUAGAGGCAAAUUACCCCACCCACUUCUGCAGCCUCUGCUGAAGGCAUUUAUCGCAGUGUUUCUCAACCUGCUUUGGCUGGCAACAAGAUAGAAGGUGUGGAGCGUUUUAGGGAUGACACUCAGGAGAAGAAAAGGCGGCAAAUACCCUCCAUGGGACAUUCUCCAGCAACAACCUCUCAGAUCCCUCCUAUGUCUCUUAGUGAAAUUAAAAGGUUGGAAUUUUGAAGGAAUAAAAUCUGAAGGGAACGGAGUUGUCUUAGUGUUUUCAGGUAGAUGUGAUACUGCAGUGCUUCAUGUUUAUUGUUAAGAUGAAAAGCUGGAGAACCCUUUAGUCUGUUUUAUGUUGUGAGAUCAAGACACUUUGUGUAGAUGGGCAAAUUUCUCUGCUUCUGAGUUCUUUGUAGAGGCAUGGAAAACUUGUCUUGGAGCAGUGCAGAGGUGGUAUUUUGAUGAUGAUGGUCCAACUGGUUUCAUAUUUGUUCUAUUUAACAGCUGAUCUGAGAUGGUUCAAUCCAUAUAUCCAUAUUUCAACCCUGCCAGCAAACCUGUUGAUAAUAAACAGUUCUUAACGGCCCAAGAGCUCUCUCAUCCAGGCUCAAUAAACAAUUCCAAAAGAAGACCACUACUCAGAGAGAAUGGUUGUUCUCCAAAUGAGAUCUCUGCUGAAAACCUUCAUAUUUAAGCAUAUUAAUUGCAGGUCUCUGCCAACAGAAUAAAGCAGACUUGUUUCAAGUGUUAGCUGCUCUAACUAAGAUGCGUACUGAAAACAGUUUUUAACAUUCUAAUUGUAAACUGUGCAAUAAUAAACCAACAGAAAGUUAGCUGGAGCCAAAACCAUUCAUUAUUUGCAGCCAGAAAUGAAGCUUCAGUUGCGUUCUUUCCUGUAGCAAACUGUUAAAUAUCUGCCUGAUAGAAGCUGAUGCCUUCGCACAGCUGCAGGACAAAUUCAUUUGGACUGCACUUAUUGCGCUCUGUGCUUCAACCCGGCUCUGCUUUUACUGAGACUUUAACCUCGUUUA